UACAGAGGGUGCAAGCGUUAAUCGGAAUUACUGGGCGUAAAGCGUGCGUAGACGGUUACAUAAGUCGGGUGUGAAAGCCCCGGGCUCAACCUGGGAAUUGCAUUCGAGACUGCGUAGCUAGGGUGCGGAAGAGGGAAGCGGAAUUUCGGGGUGUAGCGGUGAAAUGCGUAGAUAUCCGAAGGAACAUCAGUGGCGAAAGCGGCUUCCUGGUCCAGCACCGACGUUCAGGCACGAAAGCGUGGGGAGCAAACAGG
rnacentral:rRNA from 1 species